AUCUAUGGCCAUACCUCCCUGAAUGUGUCUGAUCUUGUCUGAUCUCGGAAGCUAAGCAGGGUCGGGCCUGAUUAGUACUCGGAUGGGAGAAUAAAUACAUACACUUUGGCUAAAGGAA
ensembl:rRNA 5S_rRNA 5S ribosomal RNA